AACGAACGCUGGCGGCAUGCCUAACACAUGCAAGUCGAACGAGACCUUCGGGUCUAGUGGCGCACGGGUGCGUAACGCGUGGGAACCUGCCCUUAGGUUCGGAAUAACUCCCCGAAAGGGGUGCUAAUACCGGCUAAUGUCUUCGGACCAAAGAUUUAUCGCCUUUGGAUGGGCCCGCGUUGGAUUAGCUCGUUGGUAGGGUAAAAGCCUACCAAGGCGACGAUCCCUAGCUGGUCUGAGAGGAUGAUCAGCCACACUGGGACUGAGACACGGCCCAGACUCCUACGGGAGGCAGCAGUGGGGAAUAUGGGACAAUGGGCGAAAGCCUGAUCCAGCAAUGCCGCGUGAGUGAUGAAGGCCUUAGGGUUGUAAAGCUCUUUUACCCGGGAUGAUAAUGACAGUACCGGGAGAAUAAGCUCCGGCUAACUCCGUG
rnacentral:rRNA from 1 species